GCUGGGUGCGGUGGCAUGUGCCUGUAGUCCCAGCUACUCAGGAGGCUGAGGUGGGAGGAUCGCUUGACCCCAGGAGUUCUGGGCUGUAGUGUGCUAUCCUGAUCAGAUGUCUGCACUAAGUUCAGCAUCAAUAUGGUGACCUCCCAGGAGCAGGGGACCACCAGGAUGCCUAAGGAGGGGUGAACUGGCCCAGGUUGGAAACGGAGCAGGUGAAAACUCCCAUGCUGAUCAAUAGUGGGAUCACACCUGUGAAUAGCCACUGCACUCAGCCUGGGCAACACAGUGAGAUCCCAUCUCU
rnacentral:SRP_RNA from 1 species